rnacentral:rRNA from 1 species
ACGUAGGGGGCAAGCGUUAUCCGGAAUUAUUGGGCGUAAAGAGUGCGUAGGUGGUUUUUUAAGCGUGAGGUGAAAGGCAAUAGCUUAACUAUUGUAAGCCUUGCGAACUGGAAGACUUGAGUGCAGGAGAGGAAAGUGGAAUUCCUAGUGGAGCGUUUAAAUGACUAUAUAUGAGGAGGAACACAAGAGGCGAGGGCAGCAAACAGGACUAGAACUGAUUGUGAUCCACCAAACCGUCUGCAACAUACAG